rnacentral:rRNA from 1 species
GUACACGCUGUGACUAGCAUAUCAAUAAGCGGAGGAAAAGAAACUAACAAGGAUUCCCCUAGUAACGGCGAGUGAAGCGGGAAGAGCUCAAAUUUGAAAUCUUAAAGGGUUUCCCUUUACGAAUUGUAGUUUAAAGAAGUGUUUUCUGUUGAGGUUUUGGUAAAAGUUCUUUGGAAUAGGACAUCAUAGAGGGUGAGAAUCCCGUAUUUGACCUUUACUUUCAACUUUGUGAUACACUUUCAAAGAGUCGGAUUGUUUGGGAAUGCAGUCCAAAAUGGGUGGUAAAUUUCAUCUAAAGCUAAAUAUUGGCGAGAGACCGAUAGCGAACAAGUACCGUGAGGGAAAGAUGAAAAGAACUUUGAAAAGAGAGUUAAACAGUACGUGAAAUUGUCAAAAGGGAAGCGUUUGACACCAGUGUUGUUUUUCUGAAAAUCAAUUAAAGAACUGUUUAUGCUAAGCUGUUUAGACUUUAUCAGCUAUCUGUUUAGUUUUGAGCUUUUCUUUAAUGCACUUUUCAGUUAACAAGUCAACAUCAAUUUCUUUUGCUGUAAAAUAGCUUGAGGAAGGUGGCUUGAGAUUCGUCUUAAGUGUUUAUAGCCUCUUGCCUAUGCAGUCGGAGAGAUUGAGGUCUGCAGCGUAGAUCCUUCGGGGCUAAAUGCAUUUGUGCUAAGUUAUAGCAUUUUAUAGACAACUUGUUGACUAUGAUUUGUCUUGUAGCUUACUCGCUUAUGUUAUUUUACCUACGCUUAGGAUGUUGAAGAUGUAGCACAUCA